ACAAAUCUAACUAACUAUUACAUCUCUUUCAUAGUACAUGUCCACUCUACAUUAUUACAAUGCUCUUUACUCUUUACUCUUUUGGCACUCUGCUGAUCUCCUCUUUACACUGUACACUGAACCUGCAAAACUGGGGUUAAGUGUAACGCCCCGAAAAUCAGACCGCUACCGGCGCUAGGAUCCGGGUCGACUUAAGGCCGCCGGGACCCGUAGCAAGUCUGACAUAAAACCUGUAAACCUGUAUAAUCCCAUACAUGAUCAACAACAUGCAUAAAAAUUUAAACUUUUCUUCAUACAUACUGUCAUCAACUAACUCAACCUGUGCAUACUCUGAACAUAUACAUAACAUAGUCCCUCUGUGGGAUCUCAUCAAGCCUUAAAGGCAAAACAACCUGUGUUGAGUUAGUUUACAUAAACAUCAUAACAUAAGACCAUGUAUAUACAAAAGGGAUUAACAAUAUAUUAUGGUCAAGCACAACUCUAUCCUCAAUGACCUCAUUACAUAACAUCCUGAAUAUUUUUACAUUUCAUCAUAAUACAAUUGUCAUGUCCACAAACUAACUAUUACAUACAUAUGACUUUUUCUUCUUGCCUUCUCUAUCUAUCCCGUACCUGCAAACCUGGGGGUUAGGGGAGAGGGGUGAGCUAGAUGCCCAGUGAGUAGAACUAUAAAAACAAUAUUUAAAACAUGCUAUCAUGAAAUGCGUCACUGCACAAACAAAUCACACCACGGAUGGACUGAUUCAAAAAUCCCUCAACUCCAUGCCCGGCCCUAUUAUGGGCACCACAGGACUUCGUAUUGCCCGGCCCUAUUAUGGGCACCACAGGACUUCGUACUCGGAGUUAUUGCCCGGCCCUAUUAUGGGCACCACAAGACUUCGUAUUGCCCGGCCCUAUUAUGGGCACCACAGGACUUCGUAUUUAGAAGGCUAAUGAAUCAUUCUAAUGUCCAUCCACUAUCAUCUAUCACAACAAUAUAAUGCGGCAUAGUCGUGAAUUCUAAUGCAAACAACUUAUAAUAUGAUCAUGAUGCAUGAAGCAUGAUAAAAGCAUUUUAUUUCUCAAUUUAAAAGGUUAAGUUUAGUUCCACUCACCUCUGGCUGACUCUGACAAACUUUGUAGCAGCUGGCUCACUGCUGGGGUCCUUGGUUCCUCGGGUCCGAACCUACACAGGUGGACUCCAAUGAGGGACCAAACAUACAUAAACAUAACUCUAAUACAUUCCCCAAAAACCCCCUAAAACAUCCUGAAAAUAUCACAUAGAGAUAUGCAUGAAGUGGCUGAACAGGGCAUUUUCGGCGGCACCUUCGGCGGCCGAAAGUCCUGGACAGAGACGAAACUCAGGUAGGUUCGGCGGCACCUUCGGCGGCCGAAAGUGCCAGACAGAGACGAAAGUCUCUUUUCGGGGGCAACUUCGGCAGCCGAAAGGCCUGCCUCCCCAGCCAUGUUCGGCGGCCGAAAGUGCCUUCGGCUGCCGAACCUGGUUUCUGCCAAAGGGCAGAAACUUGGCUCCUUUGUGCAUUUUCGCCUCCAAACUCACCAAUCAUGCAUAUAUCUCAACCAAAACAAGCAUACAAGUUCCUAGGGGCCUCAAAACAACAAUUACCCCAACUACAACACUUCAAACACCCACAAUCAACACACAUUGACCAAAACAUCAAUAUUAACCCAUAACUCAAAAUAUAACCUAACAUGCAUUUCUACUCAUAGAUCUAGCAUAAAACUUACUUAAAAUAUAUAAGGAGCUUAAGAUCGGCCCUUACCUCUUGAAGAUCGAGAGGGAGACGACCUAAACUUGGAGAUUCACGAAAAAUGAGCUCCUGAGUUCCCAAAGCUCCAAAACUUGGUUUAAAUGUUCAAAACUUGCAAUGUGAGUUUAAAACUCAAGAAAAAUGGAAGAGAUUUGGAGGAAGAACACAAGAGUUGCAAAAGGAAGGUCGGAAACUUGCUGUGGCCGAAAAUGGGAGAAAGCUCGCCCAUUUCGGCUAAGUGCCCCAUUUAUAGGUGGCUGGCCAGGCCACGUUCGGGGGCCGAAUGUGCCUCCGCAUCCAUGCAAUGUUCGGCGGUCGAACUUGACUUUCGGCGGCCAAACCUGAACUUCCCUAACUCAUGCUUUCGGGGGCCUAACGUGCCUCCAAAACGCAUGCAUGUUCGGCGGCCGAACUUGACUUUCGGCGGCCGAACCUGGGUUUUCCUCCAAUGCUAUUUUCAUGCAAAAACUCAUUUAGUUUCAUACUUUAAAACCAUUAAAAACAUGAAAACAUUUUAUGAAAGCAUGGUUCUACCCUUCUAGAGGUCUCCGACAUCCGAGAUUCCACCGGACGGUAGGAAUUCCGAUACCGGAGUCUAGCCGGGUAUUACAUUAAGGGAGUGGGAUGAGCUCUAUAGCCCAGUGAGUAGAACAGUAAAACAAUUCAUUAAAAUAUGAUCUCAUGGAAUGCGUCAUAACACAGACAAACCACAUCAAGAGUAAACCUGUCACCACAUAGUCCCAGUAACUCUGUGCCAGGGCGUAGAAUUGAGCACCUGGUCUUCCUGUCAUAUAUGUAUAUGUGUAUAUAACACCUCUAUACUUACCAUUGCCAGGGCGUAGUCAAAGGCUCCUGGUCUUUACUAUACCUGCCAGGGCGUAGUCAAAGGCUCAUGGUCUUUACUAUACCUGCCAGGGCGUAGUCAAAGGCUCUUGGACUUCCUGUCUGAGACUAUUGGAUCAUUCAGCAUUCACUCACAUCAUCAAAGAACUAUGCAAUGCAACAUAGUCGUGAAGGCUAAUACAAACAACCUAUGGUAUAAUCAUGAUGCAUGAGAUAUGCUAAAACAUUCCAUUGUGCAAGUAAAAAAGUUAAGUUUAGUUCCACUCACCUCUGGCUAACUGGACUGACUCUGCAGGCUCUGAAAACUCUGGAGCAGUACUCACUGCUGCUCUCUCUGGUUCCUCUGGUCUGUACCUAUACAGAUGGACUCAAAUGAGGGACCAAACUAGCUUAUGAAUCACUCUAUUAAACUCCCCAAGAAUCCCCUUAAACUCACUCUAACAUCCAUGCAAAGCAUGCAAAGGAAAGCUGGACAGGACACUUUCGGCGGCAGGUUCGGCGGCCGAAAGUCCUCUCCAGAGACGAAACUCAAGCACCUUCGGCGGCCGAACUUCCAAUUUCGGCUGCCGAACCCUUUCGGGGGCAAGUUUCGGAGGCUGAAAGGCACUCCAGAGACGAAAGUCUCUAACCUUCGGCGGCACCUUCGGCGGCCAAACUUCCCUCUAGAGCCGAAAGUCCAACAGCUCGGGGGCAAGUUUGGGCAGCCGAAGCCACCUCCUCUCUUCUCCUCAGGGGUUCGGCGGCCGAAUGUACCUUCGGCUGCCGAACCUGAGUUCAUCAGCAGGGCAGAAACUUGCCCUGCCUCUCGCCCAAUGCACAAAACUCACUCCACUUUACACACCUCAAUACUUCCACUUGCAUACACUCAUGUAUAUGCUCAAAGGGGUCAGAAACUACCUUAAAACCCCAAAAAUACAACACAAACAACAUAGAAACAGGUUCUAUGCACAAAAUCAUCAAAACCUCACACAUAACCCUAUUCAUGCACCUCUCUCCAUAAACCCCAUAAAACCUUCAGAANNNNNNNNNNNNNNNNNNNNNNNNNNNNNNNNNNNNNNNNNNNNNNNNNNNNNNNNNNNNNNNNNNNNNNNNNNNNNNNNNNNNNNNNNNNNNNNNNNNNNNNNNNNNNNNNNNNNNNNNNNNNNNNNNNNNNNNNNNNNNNNNNNNNNNNNNNNNNNNNNNNNNNNNNNNNNNNNNNNNNNNNNNNGGUGGCUGGCCAGACCACCUUCGGCGGCCACACGUGAAACCGAAAGCCAUGCAUGUUCGGCGGCCGAACCUCAACUUCGGCGGCCGAACCUGGCUUUUCUGCCUUGGUUCAUUUCAUUCAAAAACUCAGUUCCUUAAGCUUUAAAAUUAUGAAACAUAGUAAAACAUGUUAGAAAAACAUCACUCCCACCCUUCUCGAGCCUUCCGACAUCCGAAACUCCAUCGGAAAGUAGAAUUCCGAUGCCGGACUCUAGCCGGGUAUUACAUUCUCUCCCCCUUAAGAACAUUCAUCCUCGAAUGUCCUAAAACAAACAAGUAACACAUAAAAAAGGAGGAAACUAACCUCAAAACAAAUAUGGAUACUGCUGGAGCAUCGACUCCCGCGUCUCCCAGGUACACUCUUCUAGAUUAUGGUGGUUCCACAGAACUUUCACCAUUGGGAUCUCUUUGUUCCUUAGCUGUCUGAUCUGUGUGUCCAGAAUCCGCACUGGCUGCUCUAUAUAGGUGAGAUCUGUAAGAAUCUCCACCUCAGGCUCACUCAGAACCUGAUUCGGAUCUGACACAAACUGCCGUAGCAUAGAAAUAUGAAAUACCGGGUGAAUUCUCUCCAUAGAAGUAGGUAAAUCCAGCUUAUAUGACACAUUUCCGAUCCUUUGCAAAAUCUCAAAGGGUCCAAUGUAUCGUGGGGCUAACUUACCCUUCUUUCCAAAACGAACCACUCCUUUCAUUGGAGACACUUUAAGCAAUACCCAAUUACCCUCCUGGAACUCUAACUGCUUUCUGCGAACAUCUGCAUAACUUUUCUGUCUGCUCUGCGCUGUUCUGAUUCUCUCUCUAAUCAUGGGCACCACUCUACUGGUAAUCUCUACUAACUCUGGCCCUGCAAGAGCCUUCUCUCCUAUUUCUUCCCAGCAAACAGGGGAUCUGCACUUCCUCCCAUACAAAGCUUCAUAAGGAGCCAUCCCUAUGCUAGCAUUAUGGCUGUUAUUGUAGGCAAACUCCACCAAAGGUAGAUACUGCCUCCAAGAACCGCCAAAGUCUAACACACACAGUCGAAGCAUAUCCUCUAUGGUCUGGAUGGUCCUCUCUGACUGUCCAUCAGUCUGUGGGUGGAAAGCAGUGCUAAAAUCCAAUCUCGUGCCUAUCGCACUCUGCAGACUUCGCCAAAAUCUGGAGGUAAACUGAGGUCCUCUGUCUGAAACUAUAGACACUGGCACUCCAUGUAAUCUCACUAUCUCAUCCAGAUAGAACUGUGCCAACUUAUCCACAGAAUAGUUACUCCGUACUGGAAGAAAAUGAGCAGAUUUCGUGAGUCUGUCCACAAUCACCCAUAUAGAGUCUAUCCUGUUGGACGCUGCUAGUAAACCCACUACAAAAUCCAUGGCUAUGUUCUCCCAUUUCCAUUCUGGAAUCGGUAAUAGGUUAAGCAUUCCGGCUGGUUUCUGAUGCUCUAGUUUCACCCUCUGGCAAACCUCAUAGGCUGUCACAAACUGCGCCAUUUCUUUCUUCAUGGCUGGCCACCAAUAAAUCUUUUUCAGAUCCUGAUACAUCUUGGUGGCUACUGGGUGAACACUAUACCUCGCAUUAUGAGCGUCCCUCAUAAUGUCUUCCUUCACACUGCUCCUAUCUGGUACACAAAGUCGACUCCCAUAACGGAGGAUCCCUUUGCUGUCAAAUCUGAACUCUGCACUGUUGCCUGACUGAACAGUCCUGGCAAUUUUCAUCAACUCUGGGUCCUCGUGCUGUCUCUGAGCUAUCUGCUCUAGAAACAUAGGUGUCACUCUCAUCUGUGCUAUCAAUGCACCUGUACCAGACAACUCUAGCUGUAACCCCUCUUCUAAGAGCUUAUAAAGCUCCAUCACUACUGGUCUCCGCUCGGCUGCUAUAUGGGAUAAACUGCCUAGUGAUUUCUGGCUGAGGGCGUCUGCCACAACAUUCGCCUUACCCGGAUGAUACUGGAUCUUACAAUCAUAAUCACUGAGCAAUUCGACCCAUCUUCUCUGCCACAAAUUUAGCUCUCUCUGACUCAAGAUGUACUGUAAACUCUUGUGAUCGGUGAAGAUCUCGCAUUUAACCCCAUAGAGGUAAUGCCGCCACAUCUUAAGUGCAAAGAUAACUGCUGCCAUCUCUAGGUCAUGGGUAGGGUAAUUCAACUCGUGCUUCUUCAACUGUCUCGAAGCAUAAGCUAUCACCCUAUCACUCUGCAGCAAAACACAGCCCAAUCCCACUCGAGAUGCAUCACAGAACACUGUGAAAUCCUCAUUACUGACAGGCAGAGCUAACACUGGUGCUGUUUUCAAUCUCUUCUUAAGCUCAUCAAAGCUCGCUUCACACUGGUCUGACCAGACAAACUUCUGGUUCUUCUGAGUCAAUUUGGUCAUAGGAGCCGCUAUCUUUGAGAAAUUCUGAACGAACCGCCUGUAGUAACCUGCCAGUCCCAGAAAGCUUUUAAUCUCAGUCACUGUCGUGGGUCUGGGCCAGUUAGCUACAGCCUCUAUCUUCUUGGGGUCUACCUCAAUACCCUCUGCUGAUACCACAUGUCCCAUGAAGGAAAUGCUCCUCAACCAAAACUCACACUUCGAGAACUUGGCAUACAAACCAUGCUCUCUCAGUGUCUGCAGAACUAUCCUCAGAUGCUGGGCAUGUUCCUCUGCAUCUCUGGAAUACACUAAAAUAUCAUCGAUAAAAACAAUGACAAAGUGAUCCAGAAACUCACUGAACACUCUGUUCAUGAGAUCCAUGAAUGCUGCAGGGGCGUUAGUCAACCCGAACGGCAUCACUAAGAACUCAUAAUGCCCAUAUCUAGUCCUGAAAGCUGUCUUUGGUACAUCUGCCUCUCUGACUCGCAACUGAUGAUACCCGGAUCUCAGAUCUAUUUUCGAGAAACAACCUGCUCCAGCUAGCUGGUCAAAUAGAUCAUCAAUUCGAAGUAGAGGAUACCUAUUCUUGGUAGUGACCUUGUUCAACUGUCUGUAGUCGAUACAAAGUCUGAGGGAUCCAUCCUUCUUUCUGACAAAGAGCACUGGAGCACCCCAAGGUGAGGUACUAGGGCGGAUGAAACCCUUAUCUACCAAGUCCUGCAACUGCUCUUUUAACUCUUUUAACUCUGCUGGCAUCCUGUAGGGAGGAAUAGAGAUAGGUCUGGUAUCAGGCAGCAAUUCUAUUUCAAACUCUAUCUCCCUACCGGGUGGUAGUCCUGGAAGUUCAUCUGGGAAAACAUCGAGAAACUCUCGGACGACUGGUACUGUAGCUGGUUCCCUAACCUGACUGUCUAGCUCUCUCACAUGAGCUAGAAACCCCUGACAACCCCUCCUAAGCAAACGACGAGCCUGAAGGGCUGAAAUCAUACCUCUGGGUGUACCUCUCCUGUCUCCUCUGAAGACACACUCUGACCCAUCCUGGUCUCUGAGACUAACUAUCUUCUCUCUACAGUCCAAAGUAGCACUAUAUGCAGAUAGCCAAUCCAUCCCUAGAAUGACAUCAAAAUCUGUCAAGUCUAGAACCACAAGGUCAGCUGGAAGGCAUCUACCCUCUAUGAACACUGGACUGAAACGACAGACUGACACUGCCACUGAUGGGUCACAUUUAGGUCCACUGACCCAGAGAGGAUACGCUAACUCAGAACUGAUCAAACCCAAUCUCUCUAUGGCUCUCGAAGCAAUAAAGGAAUGAGAAGCACCGGGGUCCAUCAAAGCAUACACAUCUGAACACCCAAUGAUGAGAUUACCUGACACCACUGUGUUCGACGUGUUAGCCUCCUCCUGAGUCACAGUGAAAAUCCGUGCUGGGGCUACCGGAUUUCCACCUCGGGAACCUGCUGCUGAAGUAGAGGCUGCCCCUCUCCCUCUACCUCUGCCACUACUCUGAGGCAUGACUGGAGCUGUUGGCUGUACAACACUGCCUGAACUCAUCUGCUGGGAUGGUGCAAAAGUCACCUGAGGACAAUCCCGAGCAAUAUGCCCUUCCUGUCCACAGCAAAAACAAGCUGUAGAUCCCAACCGACAAACUGCUCCAUGUGGUUUUCCGCAUCUUCUGCAUACUGGAGCUGUGCCAGAGCUAGAGCCACUACCUAGUCCCAGACCUGACUUCACUUUACUCCAGAACUUACUCUUUGUUCCUUUUGCUCUAUCCCAUCUCUUGCUGCCUGAGGGUGCUGAACUGGGGGCCUUCGAACCCGAAGCCUGUGCCUUUGACUGGUUCUGAAUAUUGGCACUAGCUUCCAUUUUCCUGGCUGCGUCCACUAUCGUGUGGAAACUCUCCUUUUCUGCUGGAAGAAUCAAGGAAGAAUACCUGGGAUGCAAUCGCAUAGUAUAUCUCAUUGCCUUCUUCUGAUCAGUAUCAUAGGCUUGACCCACAUACUGAAGCAAAUCCAUGAACUUAUCUGUAAAUUCAUCAACACUCAUCUCAUCUGUUUGUCGCAACUGUUCGAACUCUAUGACUUUCAUCUCCCUAGAACUGUCAGGAAAAGCCCACCCUGCAAACUCAUUGGCGAACUCUCCCCAAGACAUAUUGUUCAUCUUGGGUUCCACAUAAUUCUUGAACCAUUCUCUAGCUUUCUUGCAUUUAAGUGUAAACCCUGCCAUCUCAAUGGCUCUACUAUCAUCAGCUCCCAAUUCACUAGUUAUCAUCCGAACUGAUCUGAGGUAUUCAAAUGGAUCAUCUCCCGUGUUAUAUUUAGGAGCAUCCAAUUUCAAGUACUCCGUCAUUUGUACUUUACCUCCAGAUGAGCUAGGUUGAUGUCGAUCAACAACAGGGGCUACUGGUUCUGGUGGUGUUACUGGGUCAUUUGGCUCUGGGUGUGCUGCACUUGGAUGAGUAGGGGAUGGUGGAUACAUAGGAUAUGGUGGGUAAUACGGAGGAUAAGGCAUAUGUGGCAUGUAAGGAGGAUAUGGGACAAAACUAGAGUACUCCGACAUACCUCCCAUCGGAUACUCUAGGUCCUGCGGAAAGGCUGGAUAGCCAAAACCUGAGGCCUGAGCGCCUCCCUGCGACUCUCCCAUACCUUCCUCAAAUCUGCCUACACCCAUCCUAUCAUCUCUAGACUGAUCAAUCUCCAUUGCCUCCCUCCUUUCCUCUGAUCUUUCUCCUCUCGCUGUUCCCCUUCUGCUCUCGUCUACAGACCUUCUAGGGUCUAUUGACGUACUUUCCCUGCUAGAUCUCUGAGACCUUGCCCUUGGCAAUGCAGGAGGACGAACAGUUGGUCUCUCACUAUCUGGUGGGACUCCAGUCAAUCGAGCUGAUCGACGAGUUCCUCUCAUCUUUAAUCUCUGGAACACAACACAUAACAUAGCACUUUAGCACAUAAACAUCACAUAUCAAGAAGGCACAUGCAUAACUCAUGGCAUGAAACAGAUAGGACUCAAGACCCUAUCCUAGUGGACAUGAUUUCCUAUUGUGCUUAUGUCUCUAUAGGUCCGAUCAUGUGAACCUAGGGCUCUGAUACCAAUCUGUAACGACCCCAAAAUGGACCGUCACCGGCGCUAGGAUUCAGGUCGGCUUAAGGCCGCCAGAACCCGUAGCAAGCCUGCUAUACUCUCUGUGUACCUGUAAACCUCAUACAUGAUCAUACAUUUUCUGUGAAAAUAAAAACUCUUUUUUGAACCAAGGCUUAACCUGUGCAUGCACUAUCUCUGUACUCUGUACUCUGUACUCUGUACUCUGUACCCCUGACUAGAGCUCGCUCUAGAUGGGUUAACUCAUACCUGUUAAGCCUGGUUUUUCAACAGUAAAACAUAUAUACAUAUACAGAUCAUGUUAUGAACAAUAUCACUAAGUCAAGCACAAAUCUAACUAACUAUUACAUCUCUUUCAUAGUACAUGUCCACUCUACAUUAUUACAAUGCUCUUUACUCUUUACUCUUUUUGCACUCUGCUGAUCUCCUCUUUACACUGUACACUGAACCUGCAAAACUGGGGUUAAGGGAGUGGGAUGAGCUCUAUAGCCCAGUGAGUAGAACAGUAAAACAAUUCAUUAAAAUAUGAUCUCAUGGAAUG
rnacentral:lncRNA from 1 species